UACGAAGGGGGCUAGCGUUGUUCGGAAUCACUGGGCGUAAAGCGUAUGUAGGCGGAUUGUUAAGUCAGGGGUGAAAUCCCGAGGCUCAACCUCGGAACUGCCUUUGAUACUGGCUGUCUUGAGUCCGGGAGAGGUGAGUGGAACUCCUAGUGUAGAGGUGAAAUUCGUAGAUAUUAGGAAGAACACCAGUGGCGAAGGCGGCUCACUGGUCCGGUACUGACGCUGAGGUGCGAAAGCGUGGGGAGCAAACAGG
rnacentral:rRNA from 1 species